rnacentral:miRNA from 2 species
AACAACCCAACUAUUUUGCAGUC